UACAGAGGUCCCAAGCGUUGUUCGGAUUCAUUGGGCGUAAAGGGUGCGUAGGUGGCGCUGUAAGUCGGGUGUGAAAUUUCGGAGCUUAACUCCGAAACUGCAUUCGAUACUGCGGUGCUUGAGGACUGGAGAGGAGACUGGAAUUCAUGGUGUAGCAGUGAAAUGCGUAGAGAUCAUGAGGAGGACCAGUGGCGAAGGCGGGUCUCUGGACAGUUCCUGACACUGAGGCACGAAGGCCAGGGGAGCAAACGGG
rnacentral:rRNA from 1 species